GUCGCUGCACAUGGCGUCGUGAGUCAGGGUGCAUUUCUUGCAGCAGUUGCCACCUGCGCGGCUGCACUCCUGAGGGACGCGGGAGGAGGGGAAGGAGGCGGGCGAGCCCUAAUCCUCCCACUCAGACGCUCCCUCGUGCCCACCCCCGCAUCCCGGUUCCCCACCUGGCGCCCGCACCACCGCUCACCUGCACCGAGCCGCAGUCGCACUCCUCCCCUGCCUCCACGAAGCCGUUCCCGCACUCUGGGGGGUCCAGGAGCUGGACCGGGAGGACAGGUCGGGAGUCUGGCCCGGACCCCGCCCAGGGCCCGCUCCCAUGCUCCCCGCCGCGGGGCUGGUACCUUGAGGGGCUUGUUGAAGAGGCAGCUGCCACCACCCUCCUGCAGAAACUGGUUGUACUCGUCGAUGCUACAGCGCGAGAACUUGCGGGGCAGGUAGAACCUGGAUAGGGCGAGGGGAGGUGCUGCUGGCUGCUCCCCUCCAACCCACCCUCACCCCUCUCAAGGCUGGGGAGGGGGUACACUGGGGGACUUCGUCACCAUCGCGAGGAGGCGGAGGAUCUGCCCCGGGAUUGCACCAGAAUCCUCCCGCCUGUCCCUGUCGCUCCCAUCCCCUCCGCUGAACCUGGGGACUCGCAGCCGCGCUGGAGGGAAGGUGUCUCCAUGCGAGGCUUGGGCGGCGCCCAGUGGCCACGAUGCGCACUGCAGCCUGGCCGGUUUUGGUGUCCCAGCAGGGAAAUCUGGGUCUCCCGGGGCAGUGUUUGCGGAAAACUGGGCUUCUUGGGAUCCUGAGUGGUUCUGUGAGCUGGGCCUCUUGAGCCCCCUGGUCCAGACUGCCAAACAAUGCUCGCUCUAAGACUCCCCUCGCCCAAGACCUUCCCCCGGUUUGUCCCCAAGAACUCACCCAGUGUCCUCCAUGAUGCAGCCCAGCCAGAUGUCUGGACACUUGCAGUCCCCUGAGGGGUGAGCCAGGCGGAUAUGAGGGAGGCCAAGGACCACCCCUCCCACUGUCACCCUCCCGUUCCAGAGCUGCUGGGCGUGGGCCACACGGGGGCCUCUGGGGGAGGAUACCUGCCGAGCUCCGGUGUUUGUUCCACAUCAUGCCCAGGUUCUGUCCCAGCGUCUGGGCAAGGGUCACGGCCAUCGCCCCCAUGUUGCCGUACUGGGGGUGGGGAAGAUGGGGCACAGAUGUCUACAUCUUCCAACAGGCACGUCGUGCCCCUGAAGCCCCUUUCCCUCAGCCGCCACCCCAGCCAUGUCCCCCCACUGCUCACCUCGUUCACACCCCCGCCGUGGGACAGGGAGCAUAUGCCCCCCACGUAGGCUGCCCCGCUGCUCGUGCUCUGGAAGGUCCUGCCCCUGGAAGGGAGUGCGCUGUCAGGAUGGCCUCCUGCCCUCCCCUGUGGCUCCCCGGGUGGUGGUGGGGCCUUGGGGAGCCCCUCACACUAGAGUCCUUCCUCAGGAGGUGAGCCUGGCCCUUUACAUCAGCCUUGGUGACCCCAGGCAAGACCCUUCCCCCCCUCCUUGGGUUCUUUUUUUUCUUUCUUUUUCUUUUUUCUUUUGAGACAGAGUUUCACUCUUGUGGUCCAGGUUGGAGUGCAGUGGCACCAUCUCAGCUCACUGCAAUCUCCACCUCCUGGGUUCAAACGAUUCUCCUGCCUCAGCCUCCCGAGUAGCUGGGACUACAGGUGCACACCACCACGCCUGGCUAAUUUUUGUAUUUUGAGAUGGGGUUUCACCAUGUUGGCCAGGCUGGUCUUAAACUCGUAACCUGAAAUGAUCUACCCGCCUUGGCCUCCCAAAGUGCUGAGAUUACAGGCAUGAGCCACCACGCCUGGCCCCUCCUUGGGUUCUUUUGCCCAUAAGGCAAAGGAGAGGCUCCCAGUAGACCAUCUCUAGUUGCAAGGCCCUUUUAUUAGAUUUUUUUCCCUACUAGGGCACUGGGUCCCUGAGGAAGGGAUGCUGGGACAGUUUGAAAGGGGAAAGACAGAACUAAGGGGAGGUGAGAGGCAGAAGAGGACCACCAGGGCUAAGACAAGGGCAUCAACCUCAGAUUCAGGGGAUGAUGCCCAGCUGUUGCAUGUGGCUGGGGGUAGGUGGCAGGUGCAAGGUGAGCCCAGUCCCCAGACUCUGAGAGGAGCAGCCAGCACAGGGCAGGUGUUAAGUAAUCCCAAGCACUGUAGCAACUAGCAGAGGCUGGCAGGAGGUGCAGGGUGGGGGACUCACGAGAAGAGGUGGGUGGCAUCACUGGGCUCAGGCAGACCCUCCCGUCGGUAGACCAUGAGCCGGGCCAGGGUCUCCAGGAGGUCAUCCUGCACCUGGAUCUUGUCCCCAUCUGCCCAUGUUUCCAUGGCAACCAGGACGAUGCGAGUGUUGAGCUGCUCCUUGUAUAUCUGGGGAGAAGAUGAGGGGGCUGGAGGGUGGGAGUGGGUGUUGGGGCCAGGGCUGGAGGAGGGCCUGUCUGUUCUCUCCAGGAAGUGGGAGCCAGGGGCUGACAGUGCCCCCUAAUGUGUGUGGUGGGGUGGGGGGCAUGAGGAGGAGGGAAGGGAGGGAGGGAGAGCUGCUUACCACAUCGGCCAGGUUCACCACGGACUUGGCAAAGUUGCUGGUGAGGACCACCGACUGUCGCAUCUGCUCGAACUGGGAGAGAGAAGAAUGGGAGGAGGGCCAGGCUCCUCAGGGGCCUCCCAGUGUCACGCCCUGUCCCUGCCCUGGCACUCACCAGCUGGUGGUCGUUGAUCACAAUUAGCUCCACAUACUUGGUUUCACUGUGCACUGUAGGGUGGCCCCGGCGGACCUGGGGGGUGGGUGGGCACUUGGAAUCAGUCCCUUCCAUGUCUGACUGAUCUCAUGGCCAAGCCAGGAACAGACUCGGUGGGGAUGGGGGGGUCUGGACUCCAGCCAGGGACAGUGCCAGCUCCCCACUGGCAGAGGGUCCUGUCCUUCCUCAGCUUUGGAAUGAGGGCAGGCAGCCUCGGUUUGCCCAGGAUGGGGCCUCUGUAGAUGCCAGCAUUAGGGAAGGGGUGGGGGCUUCUCCCAGACACGGUCC
rnacentral:lncRNA from 1 species